CACAGAGGAGUUAAAGCGUACACCUGUGAUCAGUGUGGCAGAGCUUUUACUCACAGUAACAGCUUACAGAGUCAUCUAGUUACCCACUCUGGAAUUAAGGCGUACAGCUGUGAUCAGUGUGGUAAACAGUUUACUACAAACACAGAGUUACGACGUCACAUGUUUACCCACACUGAGGAACGACCUUAUAAAUGUGACCUGUGUGAGAAGACUUUUAAAUCUCCACGUUACCUGAAAGCACACCAACAGAUCCACACCAGAAAGACUCUACAAGUGCAGUUACUGUGAGAAGCAGAGCGACACAGAUGGAUCAAGUUCUCAACCCUGUCAUCGCUGUGGGAAAGACUUUUGUUGUGACCUUUGUGGAAAAACUUUAAGUCAUUGAAGGACUCUGAAAAUACAUCAACGUAGACACACUGGAGACAAAAUGAACUACUGUAAAGAAUGCGGGAGAGGCUUCACCACUUCAAAGGACUUCAAACAAUAUGAACUCCUUCACAGUGGCGUUAAAAAGCAUGUCUGCGAUCAGUGUGGGUCAUCCUUCAUCAGUGCACGUCAGCUUGAAAAGCAUAAACGAGUCCACACAUGAGAGAAA